GAUGAACGCUGGCGGCGUGCCUAAUACAUGCAAGUCGAGCGAACGGACGAGAAGCUUGCUUCUCUGAUGUUAGCGGCGGACGGGUGAGUAACACGUGGAUAACCUACCUAUAAGACUGGGAUAACUUCGGGAAACCGGAGCUAAUACCGGAUGAUAUUUUGAACCGCAUGGUUCAAAAGUGAAAGACGGUCUUGCUGUCACUUAUAGAUGGAUCCGCGCUGCAUUAGCUAGUUGGUAAGGUAACGGCUUACCAAGGCAACGAUGCAUAGCCGACCUGAGAGGGUGAUAGGCCACACUGGAACUGAGACACGGUCCAAACUCCUAAGGGAGGCAGCAGUAGGGAAUCUUCCGCAAUGGGCGAAAGCCUGACGGAGCAACGCCGCGUGAGUGAUGAAGGUCUUCGGAUCGUAAAACUCUGUUAUUAGGGAAGAACAGAUGUGUAAGUAACUGUGCACAUCUUGACGGUACCUAAUCAGAAAGCCACGGCUAACUACGUG
rnacentral:rRNA from 1 species